CGGACCCGGCGAGAGACCGGGUGGCUCUUCCGGCCGCCGACCCGCCGAACAAC
rnacentral:ncRNA from 1 species